CAGACACCCGGGGCAAUGUGAUUUGUCACUUAAAGAAGGAGACAGCCUGAGAGCGCCCCAUCCUCGGCUGCUGAGUCAUCCUACUCCGGUAGUUAUUUAAACAGAAGCCUCCAGCACACACAACGAUCAACACUCCACUCAGACAAUGGCCAGACCUCCAGAAGACACCAGUAGCUUGGACUGCCCACAAGUGCAAUUUUCAAAAACGGUUCUGUCCUCUUUUCCCCAUGGUCUCACACUGGGGUUCUGACUUCUGGCUCUUUUCCUCAAAACUGGCCUAUCCAACCAGUUCUCCUCUGAGACCUCAGCCCCAGAGGCCAUCAACUCCUGCUGAAGUUUUCCCAUGGUCCUUCUGAUUUGAUUUUCUUGUAUUUCCCUUCUGUCAACAAACAUUGGUUGAGCAUCUGUGACGGGUCAGGGACUGAGCUACAGGUAAUGGUUAGUUCAAAAACAAGUAAGACACAUUGCUUUGCCUUUGCUUUGCCUGGAGCUCACAAUCCAGGGGAAGAAACAGCCAGGAAACCAGGCAACCACAAUACACAAAGUGAUGGCUCUAAGACAGCUGAACGAGGGCCAUGCUUGGGACAACACCAGAGGAGCCUUCCAGCAGACAGGCCAGGGAGGAAGCCAGGGUCAGUGAGUGAAGAGGAGAGCAGAGCCAUUUAAAGCAACACCGUUUAUGACAUUUUUGACGCCACAUGUGUGGGUUUCUCCACACCAAGGAAUUCUCCACUUCUCAGCAGCCACGGACUAUCCUACAAUUUAACUCAAUUCUGACAGUAAUUGGCCAGAAUUAGCACAGGCCCUCGGUUUAAGGGCUCAUUCCCACAAGACUGCACUUCAGACAUCAGUCGGAAGACCCAGGUUGUCAUUGGUACUUCUGAUCAACUGGAUAUAAAUUAACUUUUCCACCAUCUCCUCUUUGGGUUUGAUAAUUAGCCAAAAGGGCUCAAAGAAUUCAGAAAAAUACUUCAUUGACAUUUACCAGUUUAUUGUUAAGGCUAGACCUCAGGAACAGCCAGAUGGAAGAGAUACAUAAGCCUCACUCCAUGAGCUGACUGUGUGAUCUCACGACGGGAGAGACCUUUCUGGUGUGGCAUCCAGGACCUCGGCCAUGCUGCAGAGGCUUUGGCCACUGACACACACAACAUCUGGUUUUCAGAUACAAGUCAUGCAGCCAAGACUCAGGCUCAUCAGAGGCACAGCACCCUUGAGCCUCACUCAGCCCGACACCCACUAAAGAGCACUACCCUGUGCAUGGCAGCUGGAGCCUUCUCUAGAAGAUUCGGCCUUGUAGUGGUUUUAUUAAUGCAACGGCCCUUAUAUAGCAACCAGGGACCCCAGCCAAGAACUUAGCAGUGUAAAAGAAAAAGCUAUUUUUCCUCCUUCCAUCAACAAAGUGGUAAGCAGUAUACUCUUCGAAAUAGGCCAGAACAACGCCAUCCUGAAUACUGUUUGAUAAAAUACACACCUUCAGCAUAUCAUAAGGAAAAGAGAGCUGGUGUUGGAAUCUAGACCUACCUCUACCAAUUCCUAGAUACCAAGUUCUGGGAAAGAAAAAAGAAAAAAGAGAAGAGAAAAGAAAAGAAAAGACUAACAAACACGAAAAAAAAAAAAAAGCCAGAGCAACUGGAAAUCUCAGUUUUGAGGAAACACAUGGGAUUGAAGCAUCCGCCGUAACUCUGUAACCAACUGUCACAUGUGACUCCCCUCCCCUGCACGCAAUCCUGGAUGUCACAGGCCGGGGCGAGGAGGCCGUGCUCGCAGGCAAGUGUGCGACCGCGGGGGCCGUGCGGGGCGGGGGAGCUGACGCCGCUGCCGGCGCGGGCAGGGGCUUCCAGGAAGCCGCGGGCUCGGCUGACUGAGCGGCCGCGGGUCGGGGCCGGGGCUGCGCCGCCCGGGCCGGCACGUAGCGCGCAGCGUGACUCAGCGCUGACUCACCGCGCCCGCUGCCAGUGGAUUUCCCCGUCCCCGGCUCCCGCUCGCCUGUCCUCGCCGCCGCCGGCUCCGCGAGCCCUCUCCUGCACGCCAGACCCGGCCCGGCGCUUUCAGGCGAGCGGGGCCCACUUUACCGCCUUUGAAUCCCGACCAAAGCGGGGAAGUGACUGGCUUUGUUUUCUCUGACUUUAAGAGCUCAAUGGCCCACUAAUCGAAUUCUUUCAUCAAAGGCUUGUUGGAACAAAUCCCUACCACCGUCCUUCCACGGUGACUUAUAGAUGACCUCGGCUCAGUUUGCUUCUGUCGUCCUAGGCCUGCAUCUUAUUUUUAUCCCACAUUUUCUUAGGUUAUCUUUUCAAUAUGUUUGGUAACUAGUCUUGGCACAAACCCACAAGUGCAGUGACGCAAAUCAGGUUGGAACUUGGCAUGAUGUGCGGGCUUGAGUGACUUACUGUAAAAACCGGGGAAGGCUUCAUAAAGACGUUAUUAUCUGCCAUCUCGGUUGCUGACUAGAUGCCCUGCUCAUUUUCAGCCUGUCACUACCCUCUGAAAGACUGUUAAAAGGCAGAUUCUUCAUCAGUCAUACUUCUUUCUCCCUCUCCACGAUUCCACACGGAGAGCAAUAGGACAGCACGAUUUCUCCAACUGCCACGGACCACUGCACCGAGAGUGGCUGGGGGACUGUGGGGGGACUUGGUCACAGUGCAGGUUCUCAGACCCCGCUCCAAACCUCAGACGCAGAAUGUCUCCUGGUAGGGCCUGGAAAUCAAUCGUAAUGAGCAGCCCAUCAGAGAUGCCUAUGUACCCUUAAGUUCAAAAACUACUAGCCAGAGGAUGACGGUGUGAGACAUCAUUCUGUCAGGAUGCUAGGGAACAUCCUCACAAUGGAGAACACCUUGUGCUAAACUUGAUUUUGAAUUUCUGAUACCAGACAUUCGGCUAUAAAAUAAAACGUAGUACCUAUAGAGUAAAUUUUAUUUCAGACCUGUUAUUUCCUAAACCUGACUUUGCAUCAGAAUCAGCCACAGAGCCUUUUAACACUAAUUCCUGGACCAGACCUCACGCCUAAAGAAACACUACCUCUGAAGAUGAAACCUAAGAACAGGCAAUCUGAAAAGCUCUGCAAGUUAGUCUCUGGACCUUUGCAAAUGACCACUCUUCCCAAGUACAAGAGAAGCUUCAUCAACUUCAAGACAGUUGGCUUGUAUUGUUCUAUUACGGUACCCACUCAUCUCUGUCUGUGCCAUUUCCUUUUGAAACCACAACUGAAAAAAUAAAAUGAAAAGUGACCACAUAAGAUGCCAACUUAGUAAAUUAUUAUAUUGAUAAAUAUAUGUCUUUAGAAAGCAAAUUUGAAAUCUUUGAAUAUUUUUUGUUUGUUUUUUAAAGGGGAGCUAUUAGGAGAUUGGAAAGUAAUCUGAGAGUCGAUUUGGAAAAUUUCCCUAUUCUUCUGCCCUGGGAUAUUUUGUUUACUCAUUUUCUUUUCAUCUCACUGGGUAAGUUUCCCCCACUUUAUCCCCAUUAGCACUGUGGCAAAAAGCCUAGAUCUGAGACAUACCCGACAAGAGACCUCUCCUUGCUGACUCCUCUCCAAGUGUGGUCUUUGGACCAGCAGCAUGGACAUCACCUGGAAACUUGGAAGAAAGGCAGACUCUCAGGCGCCACCAGAACUACCAUAUCAGAAUCAACGCUUGAGCAAGAUCUCCAAGUGAUCUGUGUGUAUAAUAAAACAUUGGGAGUACUGGUUUGUAGUAAUGGUAACAAUCUGAGGCUGCCUGAAUAAAAAAAGAGGAAACAGGUGGUGGGCGUGAAUUAGUUUCCUGGGGCUGCCACAGCAGAGUACCCCAAACUGGGUGACUUAAAACAAUAGAAAUUUAUUCUUCCACAGUUCCGGAGGCUAGUAGCCCAAAAUCAGCAGGGACAGGUUCUAUCUAUGGCACUUCUGGAGAAGACAAAAUUCUACCAUGAAGUUAAAAGUAAGCCCUAAAAUAAAGAAGAAAAUAAUUUAGCUAAAACUAUAACCACACUGAGAGGCAAACUGAAAAUAUCUUAGGCAAGAAAAUGAAGGGAAUCCUUAAACAUUAGGAAAAGAUAAGAGUAGGACCAGAGCGGCUGCUCCAAGAUAGUAAUGUCUUUUUUAAAAAGCUCUUGACUGUUUCUAGUGGGCAUCUGUUUCUGUUGGCCCAACAUUCAUUCUCCCUCUUUCCUCUAAUAACAAAACUCUCAACGUCCUAACAUUUCAGUGCAGGACCUCAACCAGUUUCCCUUCCCGCUUCCUCCCAAGGGUGAAACACAUGACUCUUUAAUUUCUGUCCUGCACAUUAAAUCUGGGUGAGUCCCAAAAAUGCAGAGAGUGGCUGAAGCAGAGUCAUUUGAGCCAUCAUGCUGGAAGACACUAACCAGAUGUGUCAGUCUGUCCACUGAGAAUACCACAGUAACCCUAGCUGCCGUCCUCCCAAGUCCCAGUUGUUUAACUUCUUUUGUUCUAAGAGCUACCCAGUGUCUUUCCAAAUGUUUUUCAUUUGGUUUAAAGUUUAACAUUUUUAUUGUUUAUUUUUAACUUACUAUUUUAGACUAUUUCUUAUUAUUUUAUUAUAAUUUAUUGUGAAUUAUUUUAAUGGGGCCAAGAGUUUGCCCCGGUUGGGGUCUAUUGCUUACAACAAAUGAGCCUAACUGUUAGGAAAUUAUUGAUGGGGAGAACACAUAUUGCCCACAGCCACCCCGCUAAGACAACGUGACAGUAGUCUACAUCCAUGACAAAUAUGCCUCUUGAAAUACAACAAAGAUCUUUUCACGGUUUUGGUUUUUUUUUCCAAUUGAUUUUACCAGCUAUCAUUAUUGCCUUGUAUUUCAAGCUGAGUCAUUCUUCCCUUCUGAACCACCCAAAUUGCCAGGGGGCGCAAAAGAGAGAAUCACUCUUGUUAUGCUGCUAGUAGACACCAAUAGUCUUUUUUAUGUUGCCUCCAAUUCCUCAUUGUGGUUUUCAUGAUAUUUGCAAUAUUAAGGAGAUUAAAGAAAAGUACUCCAAAAUUUCUAAUUAGAGCUAUUUUGCCAGGGGUCUAAUUGGCAAAAAGAGAGUCCCUAUUAUGCCAGACUAAAUGUGUUCUUUUCUUUUCAAGCAAAGAUUAGCCUAAAGCCUUGAUGCUGGCCAACACUAAACUGUGUGUCUUUUGAACUCCACUGAUAAAAUUUAAUUUGAUCAAGGUAUAUCAGCUUCUCAAAAUCCAUAUUCCUUACUCUCCUCAAUCUCACUCAACAUUAAUUUCCUUAAUUUUAUCUUCUGCCAAUGGUUGCAUGGUGGGUAUGGUUUCAUUUGGCUGGAGUAGGGAGCAUAUAAGGACGACUAAACCCAAAAAGUAGCUGUUUUGAAAUUAAACUGAAUCAUGAAUGUCACAGAGAGGACUUGUACUUAAAUAUCAUUCUUCUUUUUUUAGAUUUACUUAUUUAUUUGAAAGAGAGAGAGAGAGAGAGAGCAGGCCCGCCCAAGCAGACUCCUGGCUGAGCGUGGAGCCAGAAGGGGGGCUCCAUCUCAUGACCCUGAGAUCAUGACCUGAGCACAAAUCAAGAGUCAGACGUUUAACCAACUGAGACACCCAGGAGCCCCUUAAUGUAAUUCCUUAAUGUUUUUUAGAGAGCUUGCCCACAUGAGCACGGGGAGGGGGUUGUGGGAAGGGGCAGAGAGAGAGGCAGAUGAAGUCUAAAGCCGACUCCGUGCCGUGCGUGAGCCUUACUCAGGGCUCAGUCUUACGACCCUGAGGUCAGAACCUGAGCCAAAACCAAGAGUCCGGAUGCUCAACUGACUGCACCACCCAGGUGCCCCUCUUCAAUGGUUUUUGAUCAAGGUAAAGAAGUGACAUUUAUCAACUGCAUAUUAUAUGCCUGGAACUACAUUAUCCACUGAUUUCCUGCUUAUGAUAGGUGAAGAUUUAGCUCUCUUAAAUCCACCUAAAACAUUUAAGCCUCAGAUUUUUUUUUAAAAUCAGUGACAGACAAUAUGAAUAUCUACUUUGUUAAAAGAGGAUAUAUGAUCCCUGCCAUUGUCCUCACUUUCUUUCUGUAUCUGUUAAAUUCAGUCGUCUGAAUGUUUCCCUUUUUACCUUACUGGGACUGAUAACAUUUUUAUAUAUAUAUAUAUAUAUACACACACACACACACACACACACACACAAAUAUAUAUAUUUGUCUAAAGGUUUAACACUGAAAUAAAAAAUAAAAAAUAAACAACAUUGGAAUUACUAAGACUAUAUGAAUAUUCAUGGCACAGAAUGUAAUACAGGUAUGAUUACAUGUCUUUUUCUAUAUCCUUACUGUUUUUUAAAGCUUUUAAUUGCCUUCCUCUUUUUUUUUUCAUUAUCUCCCAAAAUUUCUUACAAAUUUUUCAAACAUACUGGUCAAUGGAAACUUCUGGUCAAUGGAAACUUCUUUUUCUAGGAGUUCUGGUCAAUGGAAACUUCUUUUUCUAGGAGUUCUCCAGUCCCUGGUACCCCUCCAGCCUCUGAACUGAUCACACUCUAACAGAUAUCACCGAGACUGCUUCCUCUCCAAUACUAGUAUUCCAUUUCAUGGCUACAACACCAUUUGUGGAUCCAUUUGCCUGUUUAUGGACAUUUGGAGAGUAUCCAUCUAGAGGCUGUUAUGAGUAAAGCUGCCAUGGAUAUUUGUGAAAGACGGUAAGAAAAGGUUCCCUAGAAAAGAAGACAUUCGAGCCAAAGACUGAAGGAAGUAAAGAAGAAUGCCAUGAAAAUAUCUGGGAGAACAACAUUCGGAAGGCCAAAAGAACAGCACAUGCAAAAGGCGAUGUGCAGGCCUAUGAUGGCAGAGGCCUUCUCUGUUCAUGACUUUAUCUCCACUGCUAUGUCCUAUCUCUGACCGGCACAUGAUAGAAGCAGUUGACCUUAAUAAAAUUUUGCAAUGUCAGUUUGAAGACAACACUCCAUGAAGCUGGGGCACUACUCUAAGAUAUGGUGUGUGCUCUGAACCACCACAGUUCCGUAACCAUUUCUGGGACUGACAAUUCCACAGCCAGAAUGCGUGAAUCUGGAGCUCCAGGUGGAGGCUCACCAAGUUGAGAUGAAGUACACACUAUGGAACAGAACCUCCGAAUUCGUUAAAAGGUCCAACAAAGGGAAUACAGUCAAUGGUACUGUAAUGGCGUUGCAUGGUGACGGAUGGUAGCUACACUCGUGGUGAGCACAGGCAACUUCCUGUUACCUCCAAGAGGAAUGAAAAUGACUGAUUCUACCGGAGGCAAGUGAGAAGUUACAUACGGCCCAUCGGAGUGGUGAUGAUGGUGGUGGUGAUGGUGAUGGUGAUGGUGAUGGUGAUGGUGAUGGUGAUGGUGAUGGUGAUGGUGAUGAUGAAGAGGACUGUUGCUGUUUUAGCACUUUAUAGAAUCCAGAAGUAAUUUGCUGCCUCCUGACCAGUCUACUUAUGAGCAGUUAACCUUGAAGUUGUCUGAUCUGCUUUGUGGCGAUCAGGGCUACCUUAGAAAAAUUAUAAGGGAGAAAAAGGUUCAGUUUAGUAAAUCUGUCUCCACUAUUACGUAUCCAGUCUCCUUGCGCUGGUUUCCUAGGGUGCCCUCUGCUGGGCUCCAACCAGGUCUGCAGAUUCUGGGCAAUAGGCCAUGAAACCCAUGCCUCAAUUCUCAUUAAAAAUUUACCGUUUUUUGUCGUAUGUCAACAGAAUCCCAGUACUUGUUUUCCAAGCUGACAAUUAAUCCAGGUAAAUUAACCUCUAUCAAUGAGUAAAUGCAUAUUAUUGUAUAAAUGGGGGGGAAAUGCCCCACUCAGAUCACUUACGUGUACAUCUUCACAGUGACUUUACAGACAUAACUGUCCUACUUAGUGUCUAAUUCAUUGGUGACAAAUGGUGGGAAUGGAGGCCAGGCAUACGGGGAAGGCUAUGUUCUGAGAAAUCAAAGGGGAAAAUAUUUUCCAACAGUCCGAACCUUAUGGCUUCCCUCAAAUUAAACUGUGUGGGCAGCUGUCUCCUCUAGCUAUCUAUAUGAUCAACCCCCACAGAGGUGAUUUUCAUUCAAGAACGAGCAACAUUGUUUACUUUUAAGUUUUUAUGAAGAAUGCCUCGUGCUCUCUGGAGGGUAUUAUCUAAAUCCUGGUAACAAGUAGGUGGCACUGUUUAGUGGAUAAGUCUCUUCAUAAAGAUGUGUAUAGGGUAUAUAUUCAUUGGCAUGACCUCUACUGCCCUAUGCACUUUCUUGUCUACUGAAAUCAGUUGGGCAAUCCCCUGUCUGUAAGCGCAUUUCCCAAGAACCGGUUAGAGCCAGUCUUCAUAAGAGGAACCUAUGAUGAAACCAGCUCCAGAGGAUAUUUACUUGGUUCAAGUUCUACUGAUACACUUACUGGAAAUUGAAAAUGCUUUCUUUUGGCUCCCACCUACCCCCUUGAAAUCCUGAGACCCUUAGGGCUCAGUAAGAAUUAGACAGAGAAGGGAGUUGACAGCUGGGACAGACCUGCAUUUUUCUGUAAGCUUUCCCAUUGUUGAAGCUGGUGUUGAAUGUAUGUGUUUCAAGAUCAGCUAAAUUAAUAAAAUACUAUCAAGGUAAACAUGUACCCCAAAUUGGGAACUUGGGGACUAUAGCACAAAUUUUUUGAAGGCUCACCUUUGUUUUUAAAAUUUAAUGUGACAUAUCCAUAUUCAAGACAAAAAUAGUAUUUUAGGUUGCUUUCCAGUCAAGUUAUUAAAUCUUCAGUUAAAUAAAUCUUUCAGUAAGAAACAUUACCUUUAUCUUAUGGCUCCUGAUCUAAAAUGUUAUCUCCAGGGAUAUACGUAUACAAAUUUGAAAAACACAAGCUCACAGGAACAGGGAGGGAGAGGAUCUAGUCUAAGAAGAAUGUGUAUUAAUGAUCAGCCCGUAAGAGAGAUUUGUCGUGGAUGACUUUCAUGGGGAACAGUGGCAUCUGAUGAUUAGACCUAGUGCGUACUUGUAAUGAGAUAGGGAUGUUGAAAAGAAAAUAAACUCAAAAUACAGAGUCAUCAAGAUAGAUGUGGAAGAGGCAGAAAUGUGAUUGAGCUAAUGCAGAUUUGCUGGGUUCUUUAAAGACCUACUGUUAUCGCAGAUGCACUUAGUAAACAGUACGGCAAAUAAAGAAGAAAAUUCUGCAUAUGAAUUUUGGCAUGAUAGUAUCUUCUCCUUCCUUUCUGAAAUUUUACAGUGAAUAACCUUUAAAUGUUCAAAGUGGCAUAUAUUCUUAUCACUAGUGGUUUACAUUUAUUAUUUGCAGUAUACUUACCCCAGAGGUUAAUGUGUCUAUGUAUUAUUUGAAAUACACAGCAUGUUUUCUAAGA